rnacentral:rRNA from 1 species
AGUGAACGCUGGCGGUAGGCCUAACACAUGCAAGUCGAACGGCAGCACAGUGAGAGCUUGCUCUUACGGGUGGCGAGUGGCGGACGGGUGAGGAAUACAUCGGAAUCUACUUUUUCGUGGGGGGUAACGUAGGGAAACUUACGCUAAUACCGCAUACGACCUACGGGUGAAAGUAGGGGAUCUUCGGACCUUGCGCGAUUGAAUGAGCCGAUGUCGGAUUAGCUAGUUGGCGGGGUAAAGGCCCACCAAGGCGACGAUCCGUAGCUGGUCUGAGAGGAUGAUCAGCCACACUGGAACUGAGACACGGUCCAGACUCCUACGGGAGGCAGCAGUGGGGAAUAUUGGACAAUGGGCGCAAGCCUGAUCCAGCCAUACCGCGUGGGUGAAGAAGGCCUUCGGGUUGUAAAGCCCUUUUGUUGGGAAAGAAAAGCAGCAGGUUAAUACCCCGCUGUUCUGACGGUACCCAAAGAAUAAGCACCGGCUAACUUCGUG